GGAGUGCACCUGGAGAGCCAAGUACAUGUAAAUUUGGCCAAAGGAGACUUCGGGGCCCAGAGCGUUCCUGUCACCAAAGUCUGCCCUGGCUUCUGCAGAACUUUGGUCAUCUAGGUGAGGGACCACAGGCCAGCCAGCUGUUCCCUCCAGACGUCUCCGGAAACCUCUGAGCCCCUUGGAAGGUAACAAACUCAGACCAAGGAUUUGGUCUUUGCCUGUUGGAUGGCCAGGAAAUAACAGCUUUGAAGAGGCUGCUCAAGGUGGUGAGAGAAAGACCUAUAGCCCCUUCCCUGACCCCAAACCACCAUUUUUUGGCUAUUACAAGAUAAUUAAUGAGUGACUUAUUUGUAUGCUGCAUACUAUUUUUUGUUGCUAUACAUUUUAAUUUCCAAUGUUAUUUUGGGUGACUUAAAGGAAGUUACUGGGAAAGAAAGCUUUGGCUUGACAUAUAGAAACUGCUACUUAACCUAUACAGAAUAGGAAUAUGGGCUUUGGAGAGGACAGAACAGGUUUGUCAGAGUGCGAAUUCUCUCACUCAUGAAAGUUAAAAUGUAAUGAAUAAACAUUCUUAAUGGGGAUAAGUGAAUCA
rnacentral:lncRNA from 1 species